rnacentral:rRNA from 1 species
UAGCAUAUCAAUAAGCGGAGGAAAAGAAACCAACAGGGAUUGCCUUAGUAACGGCGAGUGAAGCGGCAACAGCUCAAAUUUGAAAUCUGAGGUUUUUAACUUCCGAGUUGUAAUUUGAAGAGGAUGCUUCGGUUGUGGCCUGGGCCUAAGUUCCUUGGAACAGGACGUCGUAGAGGGUGAGAAUCCCGUACACGGCUACCGGCUUACUUCCAUGUGUAGCUCCUUCGAAGAGUCGAGUUGUUUGGGAAUGCAGCUCAAAAUGGGUGGUAAAUUUCAUCUAAAGCUAAAUACUGGCGAGAGACCGAUAGCGCACAAGUAGAGUGAUCGAAAGAUGAAAAGCACUUUGAAAAGAGAGUUAAACAGUACGUGAAAUUGUUGAAAGGGAAGCGUUUGCAAUCAGACUUGCUUUUAGUUGAUCAACGUUCCUUUUGGUUCGUGCACUCUGCCAUUUGCAGGCCAGCAUCAGUUAGAGCGGUGGGACAAAGACUCUGGGAAUGUGGCUCUCUUCGGGGAGUGUUAUAGCCCAGUGUGUAAUGCUACCUGUUCUGACUGAGGUCCGCGAUUUAUCUAGGAUGCUGGCAUAAUGAUUGUAAACGACCCGUCUUGAAACACGGACCAAGGAGUCUAACAUCUAUGCGAGUGUUUGGGUGUCAAACCCAUACGCGAAAUGAAAGUGAACGGAGGUGGGAGUCUCACGACGCACCAUCGACCGAUCCUGAUGUUUUCGGAUGGAUUUGAGUAGGAGCAUAGCUGUUGGGACCCGAAAGAUGGUGAACUAUGCCUGAAUAGGGUGAAGCCAGAGGAAACUCUGGUGGAGGCUCGCAGCGGUUCUGACGUGCAAAUCGAUCGUCAAAUUUGGGUAUAGGGGCGAAAGACUAA